rnacentral:piRNA from 1 species
UGGGAGUAAAGUUGGUAAGC